rnacentral:rRNA from 1 species
GUGGGGAAUAUUGGACAAUGGGCGCAAGCCUGAUCCAGCCAUGCCGCGUGUGUGAAGAAGGCCUUCGGGUUGUAAAGCACUUUUGUCCGGGAAGAAAUCUUCCAGGUUAAUACCCUGGGAGGCUGACGGUACCGGAAGAAUAAGCACCGGCUAACUUCGUGCCAGCAGCCGCGGUAAUACGAAGGGUGCAAGCGUUACUCGGAAUUACUGGGCGUAAAGCGUGCGUAGGUGGUUCGUUAAGUCUGCCGUGAAAGCCCCGGGCUCAACCUGGGAAUGGCGGUGGAUACUGGCGGGCUAGAGUGCGGUAGAGGAUGGCGGAAUUCCCGGUGUAGCGGUGAAAGGCGUAGAGAUCGGGAGGAACAUCCGUGGCGAAGGCGGCCAUCUGGACCAGCACUGACACUGAGGCACGAAAGCGUGGGGAGCAAACAGGAUUAGAUACCCUUGUAGUCC